ACGAUAACGGCGUCGAGCGGCGGACGGGUGAGUAAUGCCUAGGAAAUUGCCCUGAUGUGGGGGAUAACCAUUGGAAACGAUGGCUAAUACCGCAUAAUGCCUACGGGCCAAAGAGGGGGACCUUCGGGCCUCUCGCGUCAGGAUAUGCCUAGGUGGGAUUAGCUAGUUGGUGAGGUAAGGGCUCACCAAGGCGACGAUCCCUAGCUGGUCUGAGAGGAUGAUCAGCCACACUGGAACUGAGACACGGUCCAGACUCCUACGGGAGGCAGCAGUGGGGAAUAUUGCACAAUGGGCGCAAGCCUGAUGCAGCCAUGCCGCGUGUGUGAAGAAGGCCUUCGGGUUGUAAAGCACUUUCAGUCGUGAGGAAGGUAGUGCAGUUAAUAGCUGCAUUAUUUGACGUUAGCGACAGAAGAAGCACCGGCUAACUCCGUGCCAGCAGCCGCGGUAAUACGGAGGGUGCGAGCGUUAAUCGGAAUUACUGGGCGUAAAGCGCAUGCAGGUGGUUUGUUAAGUCAGAUGUGAAAGCCCGGGGCUCAACCUCGGAAUUGCAUUUGAAACUGGCAGACUAGAGUACUGUAGAGGGGGGUAGAAUUU
rnacentral:rRNA from 1 species